GUCUCCCAAACAAGUUAUUUGUUUGCAAUUCAGCAUGGUGCGAAGAAAAUCUUUGAUGCUGAUGAUCGUGGUGAGGUGAUCGAUGUUGAUUUGGGUAAGCAUUUUGAUGUUGGAUUGGUAGGAGAAGAUGCUAGACAAGAGACUAUUAUGCAGUAUAAUCAUGAAAAUCCUAAUGGGACUGUUGUGAAUCCUUAUAUUCAUUUUGAUACAUACACAGACAAAGAAUAAAGGGUAUGUAUAUUUCAUUAUCUUUGAUUUUGUCUUGCAAUGAAUUAUUUUGAUUGGUUUUUGUUCCUGACAACAUAAAGCCCUCUACAGCUCAAUUCUUUUUCCUUUUCAAAGGUUUAUUUUUUCAUUAGGGAGCAGACUUUUUUGACAAAGAGAUGGUUGUGUGUGUUCAUACUGAGAAUUGCAGCAUCAAUUAUGGGCACUCCAAUGUUGUUAAUUGAGAACUGAUUAUUUGUAUGCGAAUCAGAUGACUUUAGAAUAUCAUUUUGAUUGCUAUUUUUGAGGUUUUUAUGGCUCUUUGACUAUUUUUCAGUAUUCUUAUUCUGCUAUUUGCUAUUUGCUAUUUGUUAUCUUUUAGGUGAUAAUCAGUCAAAGUGAACUUCUUAAAUAGUAUUGUAACUACAAACCUAGCAAUAAUACCAAAUCAAUGUAGUGUGGCUUGUGAGUCUAUUUAUGAAAGAAAGGAUGCUGAUAGAUUUUUUUUUUGGUGGGUUAACCAGCCAUUUCAUAUAGAAAUAUCGAUGAACGGUUUUAGAAUCAUCCGUACAUUAUAAGUUUCCUACUAGAUUUGGUGGUCAGACCUGUGGAUUUAAUUCUGAAGGGUAUAUUGAUGGGAAGAAUGACUGAAGGCUUGAUGAUUGUCUUCGUUAUUGCAUUGUUGCUGGGAAGAAAGUUCUUGAAGAUGCUGAUCUUGGUGGUGAAAAGCUCUCCAAGCUCCUGAGGUGGUUGAAAAGCCAGGAGAUAAUUCCUUAGCAAAACUGAAGCAUCUAUAUACCCAUGCUAAAGAUCUUUCUCAAAGUGAAGUAAGUUUCAGUGUUUCUAAUAUAUGUUGAUGAAUCAACUUGAUGCCCUGGUUCCUUCUAGAACUCAAGGGCAGCAACGUCGAAGAAAUGGUAUGCACUCUCAGCUUGGAGCUAUUAGAUUUGUCUUUGGAAAGAUUACUAUUUGCAAGGGCUUUAAAUGUUUUCCAUUUUUGGAAAAGACUAAUAGGCAUGAAUUAAUAUUCUAAGCGUUCUCGUUGGUGUUAUUUAUGUACAGAGGAUAGUAAAAAGAUACUAUUUUUCAUAUAAAAAUUGCUCAUCCUUGCUUAUAGCUCAUAAGCUAAAAUGACUUGAUAAACUUCUUUUUUAGUACCACAUGUGAGCCAUGACCCUUGAGAGCAUUUCUCUGUAAUAUUUUGUAUCUAUUUGUGCAUAGGAGUCAACUCACAAAUAGUAAAUCUUUUUGAGAUUUAACAGCAUAUCACAAUGUUUGUGUUUUCUUGUAA